UACGUGAGGUGGCAAGCGUUGUCCGGAAUUAUUGGGCGUAAAGCGCGCGCAGGCGGCCUCUUAAGUCUGAUGUGAAAGCCCCCGGCUCAACCGGGGAGGGCCAUUGGAAACUGGGAGGCUUGAGUAUAGGAGAGAAGAGUGGAAUUCCACGUGUAGCGGUGAAAUGGCGUAGAGAUGUGAGGAACACCAGUGGCGAAGGCGACGUCUUUGGCCUAAUAACUGACGUGAGGCGCGAAAGCGUGGGGAGCAAACAGGAUUGAGAAACCCGU
rnacentral:rRNA from 1 species